rnacentral:lncRNA from 1 species
UUUUUUUUUUUUUUUUAACCACCAGGUAGGUAUUGACAUGGUCUUGUUGCCUGUAGCAAAGGACAUUGGAUGUCUGGAUGUGCACAGGGCCCCAGGCUUGACUGCAACCUUACACCCAUCUCUGCCCUUCCUUCUUGAGCUGCCUGCCUGGGCCUUUGCACCAGCUCUCAAGUGAGUGUCCAGCUGACCUGACCUGCGGUGCAGUCUCUGGUCUCUGGCAGCCCAAGGGCAGGGGGACCAUGAGGUAUGAGUCCCCCACCCCGUGUCCCCCACCCCGUGUGCGGUGUGAGUCCCCCACCCCGUGUGCUCCCCACAGGCCCAUGGCAGUAGAUGUGACAACUGCAUCAUGUAAGGUCCAUGCCAGUUCAAGAUUCAGCUACAAUCCUCCCAGAACUAUUAUGCCCUCUCACUGGAGAAAAGGUGGAUGGUGAGGCUACGGCAGCCACAUCUGGCAGUUGUCCUCGCUGGCUUCUCACAUGGAGAUUCCAAGCAACUGGACUGACAGAUGUGGUGCUGUCAUGCUCUCCAGGGCCAGGCCUAAGCCAUGCCUAAUGAAAGACAGGCAUUCGUGGCAAAUGGGGCUGCUCUUGUCCUGUCUCUGUGCCCCUUGCUUCUCCUCCCCACCUGUUGAUGUGUGUGGGAGGCAGGGGUGUGGAAUCUGGCCUGAUCUGUCUCUUACCCUCCUCUUCAGAGUAUAGGUGGGCCAGUGUCAUCUGAUGCAGGGAACAUAGGUCUCACCUCCCUGGCUCAUAUCUUGUGAGUGGCCCUCCCUGCCAUGGGUAGGGUCACCCCACCACUGUGCUUUAUGCUCCCCUUGAUGUGUGAGUAGGACUCACCUGCUCCUCUGUGGUGCUCCUGGAGUGAUCCAGGUUGACCCUCAGGUGCCUGAGGCCAAGCAAAGUGUUUUUCCUAUUCCCAGCAAGCCCCUUGGGUCUCCCAUUACUUUGAGCAGCUUUCUUCAGGGUUGGGAUAGUAAGGGAGGCACACCUUGUCCCACUUGUGUAGCAAGAACCUUAUUCUGUUUGUCCUCACUGUGCCAGAGGAACAAACUUGGCCAGCCACAUGCCAUGAGCUCCCUCUUUGCCAGGACUGCACACAGGCAUGCGCACAAUAGUGGUAGGCCAGGCAAUGCCAAGAGGGAGCUCAGUCUGACUUCAGUGUCCAGCACAGGGCUGUGUGUGUGUGCAUGCGUCUGUGGUUCCCCAGUCAAGUGCCAAGGGGGGUGCUCUGUCCUGACUCCUCUGUCCCCCGCUGUGAGCAACUCCCAUCCUGGUCACAGCCUGUAAUGACAUGCAGUCAUGGGUUGGGCUGCCUUGCUCAGGAAUAUUUCCUCCGGCUAUGAGCCUGGGGCAGAGCAGAUGAAGAUGGAGAGAUCUGCAUGGAUGGGUGACCAGAUGGGUGGUUCCUCCAUGGCAGGACUUAUACACAUGGGCCUGGUGGUGUACCUGGGUCAAAGGAGAUUUAGAAGUGGUCAAGACCGGCUGACAUCCCAAGUGUUGUGGGACCAAUCUUGUGCCUUUAGUGGUGAGCUGACACGCUCAUUUUCCUGGCGGCCCAAUCACAUCUGAGCCUUUCUUUUUCUAAUUACUGGCCCUGCCCCUGCCUGCUGCUGCCCUUCUCCAUUAUCACUGGUCCUCUCUGGCCCAAGCAGAUGAUUGUUAGCACCACCAGCAACUGGGACUGAAAUGGCCUUGCACUGUCUGCCUCAUCCCUGGCUGCCAUGGCUGGAAGUGUCCCCAGAUGAAGUGUUCUUGGGCCCACUGGGGGACUCAGCAACAGGAGGUGUAUGUGAGGCCAAGAAUCACUGGUGUGUGGGAGAGAGUUCUCAUGGACUGGCUGUGGAUCUGCGCUGUUGGAGGUAGGGGUUGCAAGCCCUGUGAGAGUACCCUGGGGACCAAGAAGGCAAUAAGACUUCCAAUGUGCUCUCCAGAAGUGAGACACAGUGCCAUGCCCUGGCAGCUGACUCCUGCCCAGGUUGUUUGGUCAGCCCUAUG